rnacentral:rRNA from 1 species
UACGAAGGGGGCUAGCGUUGCUCGGAAUCACUGGGCGUAAAGCGCACGUAGGCGGAUCCUUAAGUCGGGGGUGAAAUCCUGGAGCUCAACUCCAGAACUGCCUUCGAUACUGAGGAUCUCGAGUCCGGGAGAGGUGAGUGGAACUGCGAGUGUAGAGGUGAAAUUCGUAGAUAUUCGCAAGAACACCAGUGGCGAAGGCGGCUCACUGGCCCGGUACUGACGCUGAGGAGCGAAAGCGUGGGGAGCGAACAGG